rnacentral:rRNA from 1 species
UACGUAGGGUGCAAGCGUUAAUCGGAAUUACUGGGCGUAAAGCGUGCGCAGGCGGUUGUGCAAGACCGAUGUGAAAUCCCCGGGCUUAACCUGGGAAUGGCAUUGGUGACUGUACGGCUAGAGUGUGUCAGAGGGGGGUAGAAUUCCACGUGUAGCAGUGAAAUGCGUAGAGAUCAGUAGGAACACCAAUGGCGAAGGCAGCUUGCUGGCAUGUAUCUGACGCUAAGGCACGAAAGCGUGGGGAGCAAACAGG